rnacentral:rRNA from 1 species
GACGAACGCUGGCGGCGUGCUUAACACAUGCAAGUCGAACGGAAAGGCCCUGCUUUUGUGGGGUUCUCGAUUGGCGAACGGGUGAGUAACACGUGUGUAACCUGCCCUUGUCUUUGGGAUAACUUCUGGAAACUGGGGCUAAUACCGGAUAGGAUCUCCUGCUGCAUGGUGGUGGUUGGUAAGUUUCGGCGGUUGGGGCUGGACUCGCGGCUUAUGAGCUGGUUGGGGGGGUAGUGGCUUACGAAGGCUUUGAAGGGUAGCCGGCAUGAGAGGGUGACCGGGCACAAUGGGCCUGCGAUACGCAGCAGAAUGCUACGGGCGGCAGCAGUGGGGAAUAUUGCAGAAUAGGCCGAAGCCUGAUAUAGCAACGCCGCGUUCGGGAUAACGGCCUUCGAGUUAUAAACCGCUUUCGCCGGAGACAAAGCGUGAGUGACGGUAAUGGGUAAGGAAGCACCGGCUAACUACGUG